AGGCAAUCACUGCUACUGCUUUUGUUACUACUGUUGCAUUGAUAUGGAGAAACAGAAAUUCAAUUCGAUUUGAGAACAAGACUUUUGCUGAAGAUCAAUUCUGUAAAGAAGUGGCAGUGUUGAUACAUACAAGAAGUAGGAAAUGUAAAAGGUGGCAGGAAGGGUUACAUAAACUUAACUGCUAUCCUUAGUUAGAUACAAUAGCUACAUGUUAGAACUUUCUAUAUGAGCUUGUGUAGUUAGAACUAAAUGUAAAUGAGUAGUAGGAGUCCA
rnacentral:lncRNA from 1 species